AUCCAGUUGACGAGUCCUAAAUAGGACGAAAUGCACAUCUUGGAU
rnacentral:hammerhead_ribozyme from 1 species